GACGAACGCUGGCGGCGUGCCUAAUACAUGCAAGUCGAGCGGACGAAUCGAAAGCUUGCUUUUGAUUCGUUAGCGGCGGACGGGUGAGUAACACGUGGGCAACCUGCCCUGUAGACGGGGAUAACACCGAGAAAUCGGUGCUAAUACCGGAUAACACGAAAUGUCGCAUGACGUUUCGUUGAAAGACGGCGCAAGCUGUCGCUACAGGAUGGGCCCGCGGCGCAUUAGCUAGUUGGUGAGGUAACGGCUCACCAAGGCGACGAUGCGUAGCCGACCUGAGGGGGUGAUCGGCCACACUGGGACUGAGACACGGCCCAGACUCCUACGGGAGGCAGCAGUAGGGAAUCUUCCGCAAUGGACGAAAGUCUGACGGAGCAACGCCGCGUGAGCGAAGAAGGCCUUCGGGUCGUAAAGCUCUGUUGUUAGGGAAGAACAAGUAACGCAGUAACUGGCGUUACCGUGACGGUACCUAACGAGAAAGCCACGGCUAACUACGUG
rnacentral:rRNA from 1 species